rnacentral:sRNA from 1 species
UAUUCUGCCCCAUGGGGAAGGAUGAGAAGCUUCGACUAAGGUUCGACUCGAGCGCCAGCGAGAGAACGUUG